GACGAACGCUGGCGGCGUGCUUAAUACAUGCAAGUAGGACGCAGUUGCGAACGGGAGAGUAACUCGUAGGUAACUCCCUAUUAGAGGGCGAUAACUAAUGGAAACUAUAGCUAAUACCGCAUACUAGACGAUGGACCUGCGUUGUCUUAGCUAGUCUGUUGGGUAAUGGCCUACCUAGGCAACGAUACAGAGCCGACCUGAGAGUGUGAACGGCCACACUGGGACGGAGACACGGCCCAGACUCCUACGGGAGGCAGCAGUAGGGAAUCUUCGGCAAUGGGGGAAACCCUGACCGAGCAACGCCGCGUGAGUGAUGACGGUCUUCGGGUUGUAAAGCUCUGUUGUUCAGGACGCGGUACUUGACUAGAAAGGGACGGCUAACUACGUGCCAGCAGCCGCGGUAAUUC
rnacentral:rRNA from 1 species